CCUGCCCCAGAAGCAUUGCAGGUGUGGCAGCCAUGUCAUGUGUGGGUCACUAGGUGGCAGAGAGGAGAGAGGCUAUGUCUAGGCUCAGUGUCUGAUCUAUGGACAUCUGAAUGAUUAGUAACCAACUUU